rnacentral:rRNA from 1 species
GACGAACGCUGGCGGCGUGCUUAACACAUGCAAGUCGAACGGAAAGGCCCUGCUUUUGUGGGGUGCUCGAGUGGCGAACGGGUGAGUAACACGUGAGUAACCUGCCCUUGACUUUGGGAUAACUUCAGGAAACUGGGGCUAAUACCGGAUAGGAGCUCCUGCUGCAUGGUGGGGGUUGGAAAGUUUCGGCGGUUGGGGAUGGGCUCGCGGCUUAUCAGCUUGUUGGUGGGGUAGUGGCUUACCAAGGCUUUGACGGGUAACCGGCCUGAGUGGGUGACCGGCCAAAUUGGGACUGAGAUACGUCCCAGACUCCUACGUGAGGCAGCAGUGGGGAAUAUUGCACAAUGGGCGGAAGCCUGAUGCAGCAACGCCGCGUGCGUGAUGACGGCCUUCGGGUUGUAAACCGCUUUCGCCUGUGACGAAGCGUGAGUGACGGUAAUGGGUAAAGAAGCACCGGCUAACUACGUG